UUCACCUCCUGAACAUGCAUGGCUUUCUAUCUGUGACAUCCAAAUUAGUUGCCAUGGAAAUGAUUGCAGCAUUAGGAAUGGAGAGGGCUAGGCGAUGGCAGAAGGAACAGAGCAUCUCUUAGAUGGGAGAAAAAGAAUGUAUGUAAGUGGAUGUGCUUAGUGACAAGCAGUAAGCAAGGAAGGAAAAAUUCAAGAAAUUUAAGGAUGAAAGAGGUGCAUGCAUAAGUUCAAAGCGUCUCCUGCUAGAUCACUAAUCCCACAAGAUACAUGGGUGGCAAAAGGUGGAUGGGGAAAGUGUGGCUGGAAGCACCUCGUCAGCCUGGCUAAUGCCUGGAAGUGCUGCACAGACUGUCCUGAAAUGCCAACUGUCUGUCACUGUCAUCCGUCAAGGGCAGAUCAAGGCUCACUCUGACAGAAAUCUGUGGCUUAAAAGUAAUCCACCUUAAAUUUCAUAAAUUGAAUUAACGCUUGCUAUAAAUUGAGACACUUAAGACCAAUGUGGAGUGCAAGUUAACUGCUGUUUUUAUUCCUAUUAAUUUUAUGGCUACCAUAUUUACUCUAUUAUACAUACAGGUGAAAUGAAUUAUGGUUCUUGCCCUUUGCAGAUCACUUAAACUGCCAGUGCAAUUAGAGCAUGUGUCACCUGGCAUGACAGCAGGCUGCAGUGAUAUAAAUGUUACUGAUAUUAGUAGUCAAAGGAGCAUAUGAUUUAAACUCUGGCAUCACAGCUCUGUUCCCGUCUCCAGGUGACAUUAAAUACCUUUUGGGUUACUUUCUACCUUACCGUCCCUUAGCUGGAGCAGAGAUCCAGGGUACAUCUAGCUGGAGUAGAGAGAUCCUCUACAUCAUUUGGAGAACUGUAGUUUAGAAGUUGGGUUUGCUUAUCUUUUCCUGUUUCACCAACUAUCAUAAAACAGUGUUAUGUCAGUAAUACACUUAAAAAUAAGAGUAUUCAUACAUGGGCUGAAAGGAUUAAUACAUUUCUUUUAAUGCUGUCAUUCUAGUACUUAGGAUUGCACCGUGCAUUUUUCCAUAGAGACUGGAUAUGCAGUACGA